GAGAAGGGAGGAGUUAUUCAGGCCUCCGCCAGCUUCUAGGCCCUGGGGAUGGUCUUUCACCUCCCUCUUUCUGAUCUCUUUUUCAUGCUCCUCCUUGCUCCAAAGAAAAGCCGGAUGGCAAAAGAGCCCAGAACCUAUUGGAACUGACAAAAUCAAGUCACGGCGCCUACAAAGAUGAGGGGCAGAUUCUGGCUGCCUUUUAAUUUCGUCCUUCACCUGAUAUCUGUGCCAGAGAAUGUUGUCUUUCAGGAACUUGGGGCGGCCCCUGUCCAGUUCAAACCAGCUGAGACCACCAACCCUCUGAAUGCACCUGCAUGGAUGUCGGAAAAGUGACACUUGCCAUCAGAGGGCCAAAACUCCACCCUCAGAUCAUGUUAACACUGCUAUUUUCUGACCAUGUGUCCUAAGAAGAGCCGUGAGCCCAGACUGCACUUGCUCAGAUCACCAGUUACCUCACUUCUCCCCACCCUCAAUCACCUUUCCCCACCUUAGACCAUCCUAAUUCUUUACUCCAUAAAUAUCCCUAAGCAUUAUCCUUGAGGAGGUAGAUUUGAGAGCUGUUCUCCCAUCUCCUGGCUGGGUUGCCCUGUGAGUAAAUCUUUUCUCUUUUGCAAAACCCAUUGUCACCAUGACUGGCUUACUGUGUGCAGGCAGAAUGAACCUGGUUUGGUGUCAUAUCUACGAGCUCCCAGACAAUGCCAGUCCCACUGGACUAAGGGUCUCACUUUGAGUAACAAGUUCUUAAAAGUCUCCUGGAUCAAGUUCUUCUGCCCUGACCGUCUUUUUCAUAAUAGUCUAGAGCAAGACUUCACACACAAGAAAUGUUGGACUGUCUCAUAGGCAGAAGGGUUUGUGGGAAAAGCAGUGAGUCCAUUUGAAAGCUACAAAAGUAAAGUGAGCUCUCAUCAUGUCACCAAUAAGUGUUCUGUUUUUAAUUUUCAGAUAAAAAUCAUAAUAAAGGAAAUAAUGGAAGAGGAGACUUAUGUUACUGGGGACAUCUAACAUAAUUAUUUUCCUGAUUCAGUGGCAUGGUUCAGUCUUCCAGGAGUUCUGCUACAGAGAAGAGAGUAACCCCCAUCCAUCAUGGCCAAAGCACCCAGUCAGGCUCCGCUCUGGAUCCAGCCCGACAAAUGCAACCCUUGAAUAGGGUUUGUGCAAGCAAACUGGAUGACGACCGAAGAAACCCUGUCGCUUCUGAGAAGACACCCAAUCCAAGAAUGUGAGUUCUGGAAAUGUCAUUAAAUGUCAGUUAUAUACAUGCUUACGUGUCCAUAUUAGCUAUGCAAUCACCAUCAGCAAGUUCUUUUUCUCAACCAAAAAAAGAAGUAAAUUUCUCUGCUAAUUAAAUAUUUCCUCAGGCCAGGCACGGUGGCUCACACCUGUAAUCUCAGCAGUUUGGGAGGCCGAGGAGGGUGGAUCACUUGAGGUCAGGAGUUCAGGAUCAGCCUGGCCAACAUGUGAAACCCCGUCUCUACUAGAAAGGCAAAAAUUAGCUGGGCAUGGGGGCAUCUGUAAUCUCAGCUACUUGGGAGACUGAGAGAGGAGAAUCGCUUGAACCCGGGAGG
rnacentral:lncRNA from 1 species